rnacentral:misc_RNA from 2 species
AGCAGCCGCGGUAAUUCCAGCUCCAAUAGCGUAUAUUAAAGUUGUUGCAGUUAAAAAGCUCGUAGUUGAAUUUCGGGGUUAGUAGGUUGGUCAUGCCUCUGGUAUGUACUGGUCUCACUGAUUCCUCCUUCCUGAUGAACCUUAAUGCCAUUAAUUUGGUGUUUUGGGGAAUUUGGACUGUUACUUUGAAAAAAUUAGAGUGUUUAAAGCAAGCUAACGCUUGAAUACAUUAGCAUGGAAUAAUGAAAUAGGACGUUCGAUCCUAUUUUGUUGGUUUCUAGGAUUGACGUAAUGAUUAAUAGGGAUAGUUGGGGGCAUUAGUAUUCAAUUGUCAGAGGUGAAAUUCUUGGAUUUAUUGAAGACUAACUACUGCGAAAGCAUUUGCCAAGGAUGUUUUCAUUAAUCAAGAACGAAAGUUAGGGGAUCGAAGACGAUCAGAUACCGUCGUAGUCUUAACCAUAAACUAUGCCGACUAGGGGAUCGGAUGAUGUUAAUUUUUUUAAUGACUCAUUCGGCGCCU